rfam:Cavia porcellus supercont2_6 genomic scaffold, whole genome shotgun sequence.
GUGGAUAUAGCUCAGUGGCACAGCGCCUGCCUGGCAAGCAUGAGGUCCUGAGUUCAAUUCCCAGUACCAAAA